AGGCUGUGUAAGGGCAGGCAUUCUAAGAUCUAACACAAGUGUGAAAAGUCACUAACAUCUAAGCCUCAAGCUGCUGUCUACAAGGAACCGAAGAUGAGAAAAACCCACGUUGAAUUCGACUAUUCAGUGUUGCAGGAAUUAUGAUCUUUUCUCCCUUAAAAAGUAUUCCUUCUGCUACAUGAAGUUCCUGUACAGUAGAAGGGGCUCCGCUCUGAUGUGUCGGCCAGCCAGUUUGCACAACCUGUUGCAGUUUUCUCAGGGUGACGUUGUUCUUGGUUGUUUACCUGGUCCCAGCCAAUUUGGUUACAGCCACAGACUUCGAGGGCUUCUCCUUCUGCUACGUGAAGAAAGAUGGAAGACUGUACCUGGGGGUCUUUUUUUAUCACUGCCCAUUGCUGUGAGGUACAGCUCGAAUUGCUGCUGGAAACUCCUCCAGUUUUUGGCGAGAUUGCCCUCCAAACUGAGCUCCAUCGGUGGUUCCAGACCUCCACUGUUGCGUUUAGUUUACUUCUGACACCAUGGCAAGGAUUUUAUGGUCCAGUCGCAGCGGAGACAGGGCUGUAAAAUGUGGCGAGCCAUUCUAAAUCCAAUUGACAUUGGUAGGAAUGUAAAAUCCCGCUGCCAUAAAAUUCUGCUACCAUGUCUUGCUUUUUGUUUCAAUGAUGCACACAGGUCGUUGACAUUGUAGCUGAGCUAACUUUAUUUAAUGACACAUUUUCCUCACAUGAACACAUAUCUGCAGUAACUGAUUUCUAUCAAGACAGGUUCCAACAUGAGCUAUCUGACCUUAAACCCCAAGAUCAGGUGACCCCUUAUGUGGUACAGAGUACCCUAUAAUAUCCAGUACUGGAGUCCAUUACCACAACCGACUAUUAUCAUGACAGGUGGGAAAAGGACGUUUUGCCUGCCAGCCACAAUGGCAGUUUUUCACGCCAUAUCCCAAUCCUGCCUCAUUCAUCCUGCAUUCCCGGAAACAUGCCACUUAGAUGGCGGGGGGGGGUGGUGGGGGGGGCUCUGAUUUGCAUGGCAAGCUGUCGUCUCACCGCUUCAUCGUAUUUAAAGUGUAGCCACGCACACACCUCUCAGUGCCUCCUGCCCACGGCUGCUGCAAAGAAGACAUGGCCCUGAAAGGCAAGAAGACUGUAGUCCCCCGGUUUAGUGACGCAUCCCUUGAAUGCCUUUUCGACACUAUGGAGGCUCACUGUGAUGUCAUCUAUCCCCGCUCUAGCCGUAGGAGGGGCAGCAACAUUACCACUCCGGCUUGGUAGACGAUGGCAGUGGUGAUCAGUGUUAAUGCUGCACAGAUAAGGUUGGCCAUUCAAUACAGAUAGAGGAUGAAUGAUCUCAUCUGUGCUGCCAGGGUAAGGCAAUCUAGAUGAUUUUAACUUUGUUCCCAAUUUCUACCCUUCUCUCAUCUUCACCUGGUCCAUCUCUGACUUUUCCCUUCCUCGACUUCUCUGUCUCCAUUGCUUGGGAUAGGCUAUUCGCGAAUGUUCAUUAUAAGCCCACAGCUACUUUGACUAUGCUUCAUAACACCUUAUUUUAAGUAAGGACUUCAUCCCAUUCUCCCAGUUUCUUCACCUCAGGCCCAUUUUUCCAAUGAUGCAACCUUCCAUACCAGCAUAUGUCUUCCUUUCUCCUCGACACACCUCCCCCCACCAACACCAUGAUUAAUAGGGUUCUCUUUAUGUCUUGAGUCAAUGAGCUCGCUAGUCGAGUACACUCGAAUUGCUCGCCUUCAUAUACAAAUGUUAGUUAAUGCUCGCUAUCAAUAAUGGAGAGAGACCGACAUAAGAACAAACUGUGAUUGUUUAUUGCCACAGAGGGCAGAGUACUAAAUCCUUGCGUGCUCCCACAACCACCUCCAGCUCUAGACUUACAGUUAACCAGUAGCCCACGCUGUACAGUAAUUGGUCAGUACUGUCACAUGGUUAGUCCUCUUACAUUCUCUUAAAGUUACAUGGUACUCCACUUUACCACAUCCCUCCCCCAUUACUUAAAAAUUAUGGCUGACAAACUUAAUAACAAAUGAACUAUUUACACUAAUAACUACCUACAAAUCAAGUCUCUCAGGAGGCUUUCUCGGACAUGUUGAGCGUUGCACACAACCUCGGCAGGCAUGAAAGGCAGCACCCACAGCCGUGACCGCAAUGGAUCAGUGGGACCUUCCUGCAUCCUGCAUCCAUUCGAGCAUCCUGAAUUUAUUAUUUCUACUUAUCUGCCUGAGGGCACCUCCAUUUUGAGGGGCCCACAAGGUCUCCUGCCUGCCUUAGUAGUACCGACAUCUCCCAGUGGCUGCUCUGAUUGGGCCAGCAGCAUCAGGACUUGACCAGCUGCUGUUAAUUGGACAGCUGGCUCACAGCACGGUCAAUUAGGAGGUGACCUGCAAUGAAAUCACCAAACUGGUCUUGCUGGUGGCAAGUGUGGGCUCAGGACCAGUUUUUUGGCAAGACGUUGGUGUCCCCAAAGCCUAUGGUGAAAGUCAGCUAAUUAUCUCAAAGUAUAAUGGCCCCAAACUGAACCUUUGUACUGAGCAGAAGUUGCCCAUAAACAUAAUGGUACAGUUCAAUCUUUUGGGAUAUAAUUGCCACUGGCCAUUCUGAGAAGAAUUAACCAAAGAGGCUGCUCAAGUGUAGGAUAUAUAUUGACAUGGAUUGAUUGGGCUGAAUAGCUUGUCUCCAAGCUGUAACUUCAGUGCAUUUCUAUGCCUUAUUAAUUUCAAAAACAAAUUUGUUUAUAUUCUUUGGUAUCAAUAUUAUUCUGUACGUUUUGCCAUUUAUGAUUCAUCCAGCUGAGGUGGAGCUUAUAAUACAGUCAGCUAUUAAGGUGGCAUGCAACAUUCUGUGCAUUUCAAGUGGAACAAUUAUUCUAACAAUAAAUGAGUGCAACACAUUAGCAUUGUUAACCAGUUAUUCUAGCUUCAAGAAGCUGUAGAGCACUGGAGAUUUGGUGAUUGUGCAAAGUGAUUGAGUUUAGUUUAAAACAAUUUGUUUGUUGAAUUGAAAUACUGUAAAAAAGAGUCAUGCAAAAGAAUACAGUUAACAAAAAAAUGAUUUACAAAUCACUUAACUUUAGAAACCAAAAGGUGAUUGCAGGAACAGUGGACCGGGACCCAAUACCCUAAAUCUCCCUUAAUCAAAUCAAACCAAAAUCUUCAGAAUCUCUAGUCAAUUAGUGAGCAAAUAUUCCCAUUUUGUUGAGAUCUUUUCCCUGAAGAUUUUGCAGAUAUACAUCAAUCAGUUCAAGGUAACCAAGCUCUAACUGCAGCUGUACAACAUAGCUGUUGUUCUGACUAAUCUGCAAUGCGUUUUUGCCUACUGAAUUCCCUCAUGAAAUGUGAAAUGGAAUUUUCUAACAAAAACGCUGCUUGCAAGAUAUUUAUUCUUUCAACUUUUUGUCUUUCUAUUUCCAAAUACCUUUGUAACCAAUGGUGUAUAAAUCAUGUUUAUUUAAUAGUAACUCUUCCAAGGUAUUGCUUGUGGUGAGUCAAGCCGUGUUCCAUAAUAGGAUCCUUUAUGCUAUGUAGGGAUAACAUCGGGUUCACUGAUUUACAGUUACUCAGUAUGUCACAUUCCAUUUUAAUUUAAUGGCUGCUGUGAAAUUAGGAUUGUUUAGAUACCUUUUCUGGUUCAGUGGCAGCAUUCACACAAGCAACCUCACACUACCUUACAUCUACAUACAUAGGGUAAUCUAAGGUUAUAACAUUAGCAAUCCUUGUGAUCAUGUCUGAAUAUUCAUAUCUUUCAUGAGUGUAUUUCUUCAAAUUCUUCAAAGGUGGAUCAAGCAGCAUUGGUCAAAUGAGACAAAGUAUGUAGGUUUGAAAUGUCAACCUAUUUUAUUUCUUAUCAAAAGAACAUGUAGAGCAAUAGUUAUUAAAUUCAUUAAUUUUAAUCAAUGCAAGUUAUGUAAUAUUACCAAAUAAUAAACAUACCAUGC